ACGAAACAACCGAAACUGAGCUUGUUCUUUUACAUAGAAAAUACAUAUUAACUAAACAUCAAUGUGAGGAACUGCAAAAUGUUCUUGACGUUAACCACAAUUACGCUAAAAAAGUCAUGGAAACCAAUUUAAGGCUAACUACUAAGUUAAAGGAGAAACUCCUAGUCUACCAUAAAACUAAAAAAGAGAUAGCAGCUCAGCGUAUAAUGUUAUUUUUGUACCCAAAGCUUCUUGAAAUAAAGCAUAAGAAGCAUAAGAAAACUUUAGAAGAACUCGAUGGUAAACUAAUGGAAACGAAGCUUCAGUCUGAAAGUCAUAGAGUUGCUCUAAAAAAAAUGGAGAAAUCUAUGGGCAAGUUAAAAAGUCGGCUAGGGCUAGACGUUAUUAUAUCCUCAGAAA